UACGGGGGGGGCAAGCGUUGUUCGGAAUUACUGGGCGUAAAGGGCGCGUAGGCGGUUUGUUAAGUUGGAUGUGAAAACUCUGGGCUUAACCCAGAGCCUGCAUCCAAAACUAGCGAGCUAGAGUUCUGGAGGGGGUAGCGGAAUUCCUGGUGUAGCGGUGAAAUGCGUAGAUAUCAGGAGGAACACCGGUGGCGAAGGCGGUUAUCUGGACAGAAACUGACGCUGAGGCGCGAAAGCUAGGGGAGCAAACAGG
rnacentral:rRNA from 1 species